GGAGGUAUAGCUCAGUGGUAGAGUGUGUGCCUAGUGUGCAGGAGGUCCUGGGUUCAAUCCCUGGUACUUCCA
rfam:Camelus ferus unplaced genomic scaffold scaffold1176, whole genome shotgun sequence.